rnacentral:rRNA from 1 species
CUACUGGGUUUCGAGGAGGGAUGAUUCAGUCACACCUGAACUGAGAACCGUUCAGAUCCUACGGAAGGCAGGCAGUGGGGAAUAUGCGCCAUGAACGAAAGUCUGACGCAGCGACGCCGCGUGUGGGAUGAGCUUUUCGGAGUGUAAAUCACUGUGCUCGGGACGAACAUCCCUUUUCGAGGGGACUGACGGUACCGAGUGAGGAAGCACUGGCUAACUCUGUGCCAGCAGCCGCGGUAAUACAGAGGGUGCGAGCGUUGUCCUGGAAUCACUGGGCGUAAAGGGCGCGUAGGUGGCUUGGUAAGCGUGUGGUGAAAGCUCGGGGCUCAACCCCGAGUCGGCCCAUGCGAACUGCCGAGCUUGAGCAUGGUAGAGGCAGGUGGAAUUCCGGGUGUAGCGGUGGAAUGCGUAGAUAUCCGGAAGAACACCGGUGGCGAAGGCGGCCUGCUGGGCCAUUGCUGACACUGAGGCGCGACAGCGUGGGGAGCAAACAGGAUUAGAUACCCUGGUAGUCCACGCCGUAAACGAUGGGCACUAGGUGCUUGGGGGAGCGACCCCCUGAGUGCCGGCGCUAACGCAUGAAGUGCCCCGCCUGGGGAGUACGGCCGCAAGGCUGAAACUCAAAGGAAUUGACGGGGGCCCGCACAAGCGGUGGAGCAUGUGGUUCAAUUCGACGCAACGCGAAGAACCUUACCUGGGUUUGACAUGCAGGAGAAAGCUCGCAGAAACGUGAGCCCCUCUUCGGAGUUCCUGCACAGAUGCUGCAUGGCUGUCGUCAGCUCGUGUCGUGAGAUGUUGGGUUAAGUCCCGCAACGAGCGCAACCCUCAUCUCCAGUUACCAGCGGGUAAUGCCGGGGACUCUGGAGGGACUGCCGGUGCCAAACCGGAGGAAGGUGGGGAUGACGUCAAGUCAUCAUGGCUCUUACAUCCAGGGCUACACACGUGCUACAAUGGCCGAGACAGAGGGCUGCGAACUCGCGAGAGGGAGCCAAUCCCCAAACUCGGCCUCAGUUCGGAUUGCAGUCUGCAACUCGACUGCAUGAAGCUGGAAUCGCUAGUAAUCGUGGAUCAGCUACGCCACGGUGAAUACGUUCCCGGGCCUUGUACACACCGCCCGUCACGCCAUGGAAGCUGUGAGUGCCCGAAGUCGGUGCCGCAACCGCAAGGAGCAAGCCGCCGAAGGCAAGCGCAGUGACUGGGGCGAAGUCGUAACAAGGUAGCCG